rnacentral:rRNA from 1 species
UACGGAGGGUGCAAGCGUUACCCGGAUUCACUGGGUUUAAAGGGUGCGUAGGUGGGCAGGUAAGUCAGUGGUGAAAUCUCCGGGCUUAACUCGGAAACUGCCAUUGAUACUAUCUGUCUUGAAUACCGUGGAGGUUAGCGGAAUAUGUCAUGUAGCGGUGAAAUGCUUAGAUAUGACAUAGAACACCAAUUGCGAAGGCAGCUGGCUACACGAAUAUUGACACUGAUGCACGAAAGCGUGGGGAUCAAACAGG